AGUGCCUCGUGUAUAACUCCUUGGGGUCAAGCACUGUUUCGACAAUGGGGUUUUUACGACCUUACUGACUCGAUGCAAACUCAGAAUACGAAGAAGUUCGAUCACGGGAGACACACUGCGGGUGCUAAGGUCCGCAGUGGAAAGGGAAACAGCCCAGACCGCAAACUAAGGUCCCAAAGUCAUAGCUAAGUGGGAAACGAAGUGGGAAGGCCCAGACAGCCAGGAGGUUGGCUUAGA
rnacentral:rRNA from 1 species